UACGGGGGGAGCAAGCGUUGUUCGGAUUUACUGGGCGUAAAGGGCGCGUAGGCGGUCGUGACAAGUCACUUGUGAAAUCUCCGGGCUUAACUCGGAACGGUCAAGUGAUACUGUCGGACUAGAGUACAGAAGGGGCAACUGGAAUUCUCGGUGUAGCGGUGAAAUGCGUAGAUAUCGAGAGGAACACCUGCGGCGAAGGCGGGUUGCUGGGCUGACACUGACGCUGAGGCGCGAAAGCUAGGGGAGCGAACGGG
rnacentral:rRNA from 1 species